CGUUUUAAACAGCAGGGGGCACUGAAGCAGUAGCCUAUAUUCUGACCUCGCUUUACAGGCGCGAUAGCAGCGAACAAGCUGUAGCUUUUAACAGAAGCAAAAAUGGCGGCGGCAAGUGUAGAUGACGUUGAUAUUGAGGAUGCCCCAAACUCAUUCAAAUCGGACGUGUGGCGGCAUUUUGGCUUUCCGAAGACUAAAAAUGAAAAAGGUGAGGUGGUAACGGACAAAACAAAAACUGUGUGCAGAUACUGCAAGAAGAUGUUAAUAUACACCAAUAGCACAACAAACAUGAUGCAGCAUACAAACCGUCACCACAGUGAGAAGCUCCAGUCACCGCCGUCUGCACGUAAAAACCUGUUAGUGGGCCAAACCACACUGACCGGCGGAUUUGCAGCCCCACUUGCGGCGACGAGUGCGAGAGCCAAAGAGAUCACAAGGUGUAUCGGCGUUUUCAUGGCAAAAGAUAUGAGGCCAUUUUCUGUCGUAGAAAAUGAAGGAUUUAAGCUACUCGUCAACAAAUUGGAGCCCAAAUACACCAUCCCAUCACGCCCCCACUUUAGCCAGACUGUCAUGCCAGCGCUUUACAGGGAAACAAAAUCUAAGGUAAUUGAGACCCUCAGAAAAGCAUAUAUUGUAUCAAUUACAAUCGAUGGCUGGACCUCCAGGGCUACCCAGAGUUAUCUUACGGUCACAGCCCAUGUGAUAACCAGUGAGUGGGAGAUGGUUAAUUUUGUUCUCCAAACUCGCACAUUGUUCGAAACACACACCGGAGCUAAUAUUGCUGAAGUUUUAAAAUCAGCUGUGAGUGAAUGGGGGCUUCAAAAGGCCAACCAUGGAAUUGCUGUGGUCACGGACAACGCGAGGAAUAUGGAUGUUGCUGUCAGAGAGGCUGGGCUGGCCCCCCAUGUCAGGUGUUUUGCCCACACUUUGAACUUAGCCAUCCAAGCGGGUUUGAGUGUGCCCCGCGUGAGUCGUUUGUUGGGCAGAGUGAAGCGUAUUUCUGCCUUCUUUCACCGAAGCUCCACAGCCACAGCUGCGCUCGCAGCCAAACAGAUACUACUGGAGCUUCCACCGCAUAAGUUAAUCAUCGAUGUCGCUACGCGCUGGAACAGCAGUCUGGAUAUGAUCGAAUGCUAUCUCGAACAGCAAGCGGCUGUGACAGCAACUCUCCUGAGCAACGACGUUCGACGAAAUCUCCGUGACAUCGAUACCUUGGAUGGCUCAGACAUCCGUGAUGCGGAGGACAUUGUGAAGCUUCUAAAGCCACUCAAAACAGCCACCACUGUGCUGUGUGAUGAAAAAACCCCACUGUGUCUCUCAUUGUGCCCUUAAAGCAUAUGAUUGAGCAUAACAUGGCAUCCAACGAAGAAGAUUCCCCCACUGUGAGCAAUAUAAAGAGAGCUAUACUGAACAACCUUUACAACAGAUACACUUCAGAGUACAACCACCUGCUGGAGUGCACCGCAUUAGACCCCAGAUUCCGGGCUCUGCCUCAUCUAGAGAAAGACCAACGCGAUGAUGUAUUCCACAGACUGAAGGAGAAAGCUGUACUGAUGUUGCAGAACCAGGAUGAGGGCAAAGAAUGUGCCAGUGGUCACCCCCCUGCAGCAGAGCAGCCUCUUGACCAGACAGAAGGAGCAGAGCUGAAACAACCUCCUUCCAAGAAAACAGCAUUGGAAGAUCUCCUUGGAGGGACUUUUGAUGAACCAGUUGCACAGCACAUCAGUCCGAUUGAUGCAGAAAUGAUUAAGUACAGAGCUGAAACAUCCAUUUCCCUCAAUAGCUGUCCACUCAAGUGGUGGAAAGAGAAUGCUAGGCUAUACCCACUGCUAUCCAGUAUAGCAAAAGCAUAUCUCUCCACAGCAGCCAUCUCUGUCCCUAGUGAAAGGGUUUUUUCAUCAGCAGGGGACAUUGUGAAUGUGCAGAGAUCUCAGCUUCUGCCAGAAAAUGUGGAUAUGCUGAUAUUUCUUAAAAAAAACAUGUAAAAAAAAAAAAAAGAAAGAUUCUAAGCUAGGAAAGAGCACCGGCAAAGCCUUAGUUUGUUUAUAUGAAAAGAUUUAUUUUAUUUGUAUUAUUUAUUUUAUUUGGGAUUUGUUUUAAUAUUUCAAUUUAGUUUUGUUAUUUGACAAAGAUAUUUCAGUUUCAGAAAGAAAUGUGCAGCAUUUUGUCUGAGUGAGAAUAAAAUAAUAAAAGGAAACUUUUUCAUUUAUCUUUCUUAAAUCUCAUUUUGUACAAAAAAAUCGUGAUAAAAUCGUAUCGUGAAACCAGUAUCGUGAAUCGUAUCGCAUCGCGAGUUCAGUGAAUCGUUACAUGCCUAGUAAUGUCAGAAGGACUGUUUUGCCGGUCAAAUUAACUUUAAUGAGUGCAUAUUGAAAUAUUACACUGUUGGUUGGCAAAAAAUGCAUCUCAAAAUGCAUCAGAUUGAUGCUUUAAAAUCUGUAAUAUUUAAAAUAUCCUUCUCACCCUUUGCACCCCUGACCCAUUUUCAUGCCUGAACAGUACUAUUACACAUCUCAUAAAGAACGCAUGCUGAGUAUGCAGGUUAACAGUCUGGCAGACUCAUUCAGUAAGCCUUCUAAAUGACCACACAGUUAAAUGAAAACAUCUCAAAGAAAAACAAACAGUAUAUAGCCUUCAUAAAAGGAUAGGUUGGGGGGAGGGGUGCUGUCGCCGCAUCAUGGGUGCGCCGUAUAUUUUCCUGCUUUUUUGUCUUAUGCCAAUCACACCUAUG